GUGCUCACUUUGGUAGCACAUAUGCUAAAAUUGGAACGCCACAGAGAGGAUCAGCAUGGUCUCCAUGUGAGGAUGACCUUCAUAUUCGUGAGAGUUCCAUAUUUUU
rnacentral:snRNA from 1 species